UACGUAGGGUGCGAGCGUUGUCCGGAAUUAUUGGGCGUAAAGGGCUCGUAGGCGGUCUGUCGCGUCGGGAGUGAAAACUCAGGGCUUAACCCUGAGCCUGCUUCCGAUACGGGCAGACUAGAGGUAUGCAGGGGAGAACGGAAUUCCUGGUGUAGCGGUGGAAUGCGCAGAUAUCAGGAGGAACACCGGUGGCGAAGGCGGCAUCCUGGACCAACACUGACGCUGAGGAGCGAAAGCGUGGGGAGCAAACAGG
rnacentral:rRNA from 1 species